AGCAUAUCAAUAAGCGGAGGAAAAGAAACCAACAGGGAUUGCCCUAGUAACGGCGAAGUGAAGCGGCAACAGCUCAAAUUUGAAAUCUGGCUCUUUCAGGGUCCGAGUUGUAAUUUGCAGAGGGCGCUUUGGCUUUGGCAGCGGUCCAAGUUCCUUGGAACAGGACGUCACAGAGGGUGAGAAUCCCGUACGUGGUCGCUAGCUAUUGCCGUGUAAAGCCCCUUCGACGAGUCGAGUUGUUUGGGAAUGCAGCUCUAAAUGGGAGGUAAAUUUCUUCUAAAGCUAAAUACUGGCCAGAGACCGAUAGCGCACAAGUAGAGUGAUCGAAAGAUGAAAAGCACUUUGGAAAGAGAGUCAAACAGCACGUGAAAUUGUUGAAAGGGAAGCGCUUGCAGCCAGACUUGCUUGCAGUUGCUCAUCCGGGCUUUUGCCCGGUGCACUCUUCUGCAGGCAGGCCAGCAUCAGUUUGGGCGGUGGGAUAAAGGUCUCUGUCACGUACCUCUCUUCGGGGAGGCCUUAUAGGGGAGACGACAUACCACCAGCCUGGACUGAGGUCCGCGCAUUCGCUAGGAUGCUGGCGUAAUGGCUGUAAGCGGCCCGUCUUGAAACACGGACCAAGGAGUCUAACAUCUAUGCGAGUGUUUGGGUGUCAAGCCCGAACGCGUAAUGAAAGUGAACGGAGGUGGGAACCCGCAAGGGUGCACCAUCGACCGAUCCUGAUGUCUUCGGAAGGAUUUGAGUAAGAGCAUGGCUGUUGGGACCCGAAAGAUGGUGAACUAUGCUUGAAUAGGGUGAAGCCAGAGGAAAACUCUGGUGGAGGCUCGCAGCGGUUCUGACGUGCAAAUCGAUCGUCAAAUUUGGGCAUAGGGGCGAAAGACUAAUCGAACUAUCUAGUAGCUGGUUCCUGCG
rnacentral:rRNA from 1 species